AUGGGGGAAACCCUGAUGCAGCCAUGCCGCGUGUGUGAAGAAGGCCUUCGGGUUGUAAAGCACUUUCAGUUGUGAGGAAAAGUUAGUAGUUAAUACCUGCUAGCCGUGACGUUAACAACAGAAGAAGCACCGGCUAACUCCGUGCCAGCAGCCGCGGUAAUACGGAGGGUGCGAGCGUUAAUCGGAAUUACUGGGCGUAAAGCGCACGCAGGCGGUUUGUUAAGCUAGAUGUGAAAGCCCCGGGCUCAACCUGGGACGGUCAUUUAGAACUGGCAGACUAGAGUCUUGGAGAGGGGAGUGGAAUUCCAGGUGUAGCGGUGAAAUGCGUAGAUAUCUGGAGGAACAUCAGUGGCGAAGGCGACUCCCUGGCCAAAGACUGACGCUCAUGUGCGAAAGUGUGGGUAGCGAACAGGAUUAGAUACCCUGGUAGUCCACACCGUAAACGCUGUCUACUAGCUGUUUGUGACUUUAAGUCGUGAGUAGCGAAGCUAACGCGAUAAGUAGACCGCCUGGGGAGUACGGCCGCAAGGUUAAAACUCAAAUGAAUUGACGGGGGCCCGCACAAGCGGUGGAGCAUGUGGUUUAAUUCGAUGCAACGCGAAGAACCUUACCUACACUUGACAUGUUGAGAAGUUACCAGAGAUGGUUUCGUGCCUUCGGGAACUCAAACACAGGUGCUGCAUGGCUGUCGUCAGCUCGUGUCGUGAGAUGUUGGGUUAGUCCCGCAACGAGCGCAACCCUUGUCCUUAGUUGCCAGCAUUCAGU
rnacentral:rRNA from 1 species